rnacentral:rRNA from 1 species
UUUGCUCCCGUUGCUCGCCUUGAAUCCAUUCGUUUGUUGAUUGCUUAUGCUUCCCAUCACAACUUUAAGUUGCAACAAAUGGAUGUGAAAAGUGCUUUUCUUAAUGGUCCUAUUAAUGAGUUGGUCUAUGUCAAGCAACCCCCCGGGUUCGAGGAUCCCUUCUUUCCGGGUCAUGUAUAUCAACUCGAUAAGGCACUCUAUGGCCUUAAACAAGCCCCACGUGCGUGGUAUGACCACCUUACCGAGUUGUUACAAGAUCGUGGAUUUGAAGUUGGACUAAUCGAUCCCACUCUUUUUACUAAGAAGGUCAAAGGGGAGUUGUUUGUAUGCCAACUAUAUGUUGAUGACAUUAUCUUUGGUUCCCCUAACAAAGCUUUCAAUGAAGAAUUUGCCGCUCUCAUGACCUCUAAGUUCAAGAUGUCUUCAAUGGGAGAGUUGAAGUUCUUCCUUGGUUUUGAUAUCAAACAAAGAAGAGAAGGUACCUUCAUCGACCAAGCCAAAUACACU